GACGAACGCUGGCGGCGUGCUUAACACAUGCAAGUCGAACGGACAGGCCCUGCUUUUGUUGGGUGCUCGAGUGGCGAACGGGUGAGUAACACGUGAGUAACCUGCCCUUGACUUUGGGAUAACUUCAGGAAACUGGGGCUAAUACCGGAUAGGAGCUCCUGCUGCAUGGUGGGGGUUGGAAAGUUUCGGCGGUUGGGGAUGGACUCGCGGCUUAUCAGCUUGUUGGUGGGGUAGUGGCUUACCAAGGCUUUGACGGGUAGCCGGCCUGAGAGGGUGACCGGCCACAUUGGGACUGAGAUACGGCCCAGACUCCUACGGGAGGCAGCAGUGGGGAAUAUUGCACAAUGGGCGGAAGCCUGAUGCAGCAACGCCGCGUGCGGGAUGACGGCCUUCGGGUUGUAAACCGCUUUCGCCUGUGACGAAGCGUGAGUGACGGUAAUGGGUAAAGAAGCACCGGCUAACUACGUG
rnacentral:rRNA from 1 species